CACGUAGGCGGCUUGGUAAGUCAGAUGUGAAAGCCCGGGGCUUAACCUCGGAAGUGCAUUUGAUACUGUCAAGCUUGAGUAUGGGAGAGGGAAGUGGAAUCCCUGGUGUAGAGGUGAAAUUCGUAGAUAUCAGGAGGAACACCGGUGGCGAAGGCGACUUCCUGGACCAAUACUGACGCUGAGGUGCGAAGGCGUGGGUAGCAAACA
rnacentral:rRNA from 1 species